GACGAACGCUGGCGGCGUGCUUAACACAUGCAAGUCGAACGGAAAGGCCCUGCUUUUGUGGGGUGCUCGAGUGGCGAACGGGUGUGUAACACGUGAGUAACCUGCCCUUGACUUUGGGAUAACUUCAGGAAACUGGGGCUAAUACCGGAUAUGAGCUCCUGCUGCAUGGUGGGGGUUGGAAAGUUUCGGCGGUUGGGGCUGUACUCGCGGCUUAUCAGCUUGUUGGUGGGGUAGUGGCUUACCAAGGCUUUGAAGGGUAGCCGGCCUGGGAGGUGGACCGGCCACAUUGCGACUGAGAGACGGCCCAGACUCCUACGGGAGGCAGCAGUGGAGAAUAUUGCACAAUGGGCGGAAGCCUGAUGUAGCAACGCCGCGUUCGGAAUGACGGCUUUCGGGUUGUAAACCGCUGUGGCCUUUGACGAAGCGGGAGUGACGGUAAUGAGUAAAGAAGCACCGGCUAACUACGUG
rnacentral:rRNA from 1 species